rnacentral:rRNA from 1 species
GUGAAGCCCCCCUCAAGAUAAGAUAUCCCAUUCGUAAGAAGUAAGACCCCUUGCAGACGACGAGGUUGAUAGGCUUCGGGUGGAAGUGUGGCAACACAUGGAGCUGAGAAGUACUAAUAGGUCGAGGGCUUGACCAG